rnacentral:rRNA from 1 species
GACGAACGCUGGCGGAGGGAGGAAAAAAGGGAAGUCGAAAGGAAAGGCCCCUUUGGGGGUAGACGAGGGGCGAACGGGUGAGUAACACGUGAGGAACCUGCCCUGGACUUCGGGAUAACUUCAGGAAAAGGGGGCUAAUACCGGAUAGGAAGCCUUGCUGCAUGGUGGGGGUUGGAAAGCUUCGGCGGUUUUGGAUGGACUCGCGGCUUAUCAGCUUGUUGGUGGGGUAGUGGCUUACCAAGGCUUUGACGGGGGGCCGGCCUGAGAGGGCGACCGGCCACAUUGGGACUGAGAUACGGCCCAGACUCCUACGGGAGGCAGCAGUGGGGAAUAUUGCACAAUGGGCGGAAGCCUGAUGCAGCAACGCCGCGUGCGGGAUUCCUUCCUUCGUCUUGUAAACCGCUUUCAGCAGCUGCGCCGCUUGUGGUGACGGUCCCUGCAGACGAAGCCCCCCCUCCCUACGUC